AUUCCUAACUUGGACAUAUAAAUAGGAUGCUACCUCUUGGGGUUAUUUAUUUCCGAGGCAAUCAAUGGGAAAGUGCUAGGAAAUAUAUUCAGCGUGAUUUCAAACCUGAUGCCAGUCAAGGUUUCAGGCAGCAAACUGGCAGAGAAGGACAUAUGAGGAACAUGUCUUCAUGCAGAUGGCAGCCCAGCUUUGGCCCCACUGUAUCCACACCGUGGGCACACAUACUUGGCAAUAUUUGAUGAUGAGAUCACAAGAUAGAAAUAUGUUGAUUCUUAGAAAAGAAAUUUGGAUGCCAGUUGGUCCAUGUGAAUUUCAGUGAAUUACAUGGUUUGGACUACACUACUUGACCUUCAGUAAGUGAAGGCAAACAGACAUCAUUCCAAAGUCACCCUCAGUAGAAAUGAGGUGUCUCACUGUGGAUCAGAGACACCUCCAAACACACUCUGCCUGAUUUCCCUCUCCAGCCGGUUCUGGUUUGGCCUACUUUCCCAGCCCCAGUCGACACAGCUCCUGUGGCUAUAGCCUGAGAAAGGAAGUGACCCUCUGCGAUGAGAGGGGUUCCCUGGUGACAUCCAGCCAGCUGGCCACACUGGGGGCCCAUCUGGGGCCCACACAUGUAGGCCAAGAGAAUGUGCCAAGAUCAACAAUGAUAAGAUCUUUGCACAGAAUUCCUUCAUCCUGAGGGGCAAUGAGGCUGGAACGAGAGACAAAUCUGAACCCAGCUCUGGCUUCAAACAUCCUUGGCCAAUGGAACCAAACUACAUUCAGAGAAUAGUCUAGUUCCAGGGACAGAAGAAGAGAAAAAAAGAAGAGCCAGGCCAAGGUCAUGGCUGAAAAACUUUGGGUACUUUUGCAACUCAGACUGAAGCAGCUCUAGCAGCUAAAAGGUCAAAGCAUCCUAUAGAUAAGUUCCAAGUGGCUUUGAUGCUGGAAAGCGUCUCCUGCCAGAAAGAGCUCCACUGGGAUCUGUUGAGCGACAGCUUUUAUCUAUUUAGCCCCACAUAUUCCUGGACUUGAUUCUUAUUCUCUUCUGAUUGGCCUUGAUGCCAUGCUCACUGAAAUUAGCAAAAGCAACUCUGAAGGGAAAGAAGAAAACCAACUUGUGUUUGGCAGGUGAUAAGAUACCUGCCCUAAUUGGAUCCAGGGCUCUGGACCCGAUGUUGCCUGAUCUUCCCACAUGGCCAUGCAACUGGGGAGGAGAAAUUCCCAUCCAAUGACCACGGAGGGGGCUCCCUGGUCUCCCAUGGAAGAGACAGCGAUGGCUGACUAUCAUGACCUCGGUGGGGGGUGGGGUGGCUCUCCACCUGCAUCUCUAAAGGUCUUCUUCCUGAUGGACUUCAAGAUACACACAACUGGAGUUCCCAUUGUGGCUCAGCAGUUUAAGAACCUGAUAUGGUCUCUGUGGUGAUAUGGGUUUGAUCCCUGGCCUUAUUCAGUGGGUUAAGGAUCUGGCAUUGCCAUGAGCUGUGGUGUAGGUUGCAGAUGAGGCUUGGAUCCCCCGUGGCUGUGGCUGUGGUGUAGAGUGGCAGCUGAAGCACUGUUUGACCCCUAGCCUGGGAACUUCCAUAUGCCACAGUUGCGGCCCUAGGAAGGAAGGAAGGUGGCGGGGGAAGGAAGGAAGGGUGGAAAGAUUGUCCUGCCUUUGGAAGGGGAAAUAUUUGAUGGGGCCGGAAAUGUGGGAAAAGAUUUCUGUUUGUUUAGUGAGAGGAACUGUGCUUUUUGAUGUCUGUUUUCACAGAGGGCGGGAUAAUGGGUCCUCUGGCCAGAGGACCACCCUGGCUACCCGUUGACUGACACUCCUCAGUCAGGUUCAUGGUCACGGGGACCCUCCAUAACUUGACUGCUAGCUAACUGGUCUGUUCUCACUUUCAUAUUCUCAAUCUCUGCACUGGGGACAUACCAUUUGUUAGAUGUCAGACUCUCUGUGUGCAUUAAAAAAAAAAAAAAAAAAAA
rnacentral:lncRNA from 1 species